rnacentral:rRNA from 1 species
CAGUAGCCGCGGUAAAACGAAGGGUGCAAGCGUUAAUCGGAAUUACUGGGCGUAAAGCGUGCGUAGGCGGUGAGUUAAGUCUGCUGUGAAAUCCCCGGGCUCAACCUGGGAAUGGCAGUGGAUACUGGCUCGCUAGAGUGUGUCAGAGGAUGGUGGAAUUCCCGGUGUAGCGGUGAAAUGCGUAGAGAUCGGGAGGAACAUCAGUGGCGAAGGCGGCCAUCUGGGACAACACUGACGCUGAGGCACGAAAGCGUGGGGAGCAAACAGGAUUAGAUACCCCAUAGUCCCUGUCUCUUAUACA